AGAGUUUGAUCCUGGCUCAGGAUGAACGCUAGCUACAGGCUUAGCACAUGCAAGUCGAGGGGCAGCAUGGUCUUAGCUUGCUAAGGCCGAUGGCGACCGGCGCACGGGUGAGUAACGCGUAUCCAAUCUGCCUUACACUCUUUGGACAGCCUUCUGAAAGGGAGAUUAAUACAAGAUGUUAUCAUGAGUAAGCAUUUUCGCAUGAUUAAAGGUUUACCGGUGUAAGAUGGGGAUGCGUUCCAUUAGAUAGUAGGCGGGGUAACGGCCCACCUAGUCUUCGAUGGAUAGGGGUUCUGAGAGGAAGGUCCCCCACAUUGGAACUGAGACACGGUCCAAACUCCUACGGGAGGCAGCA
rnacentral:rRNA from 1 species